UUAAUUUGUGGUUAAUUUUAUUUUUUGUUUGUUUGUUCAUUGUAGGUUGCUCUGGACAGAGCGAGCUUUAAUCCUCCUUGAUAAUCUUGUUGAGAAAGGUACCCCUGGAGAUGACCACUUCCAGCCUUCCAGUUAUCUUUUCUCCAUUGCUAAACUGGAUUGCUCAGGACAGGUAUUUUAUACCCACACACCAAAGAAACUUUUUGAAGUUUGGGCAGAUGCAUCACUGCGGAUCCUCUCAUAUUGCAAAAAAAGAGAAGAGAGCCUUGGAUCUACCAGUUCAAGCAAACAUUUCAUCUGACAGCCUUGGAGAUCCCACUUUGGAGGUGUCGCUUUAACAACUCAGCCAGCUAUCAUUUCUUCACUGCCAUACAGAUUGUGCAGCAAGAUGGUUCGGCCCUCAUACCAGGAGGCAAAACAAGAAUUUGUUGAUUUGCGACUUCUAGGUGCAUUAUUUAUGACAAUAAAUGUUGGACAUUAUUUAAUUCA